GAUGAACGCUGGCGGCGUGCCUAAUACAUGCAAGUCGAGCGAACAGACGAGGAGCUUGCUCCUCUGACGUUAGCGGCGGACGGGUGAGUAACACGUGGAUAACCUACCUAUAAGACUGGGAUAACUUCGGGAAACCGGAGCUAAUACCGGAUAAUAUAUUGAACCGCAUGGUUCAAUAGUGAAAGACGGUUUUGCUGUCACUUAUAGAUGGAUCCGCGCCGCAUUAGCUAGUUGGUAAGGUAACGGCUUACCAAGGCGACGAUGCGUAGCCGACCUGCGAGGGGGAUCGCCCACCUGGGAGCGUGAACGCGUACCAGACUCCUAGGGGAGGCACCAGAAGGGAAUCUUCGGCAAUGGGGGAAAGCCUGACGGAGCAACGCGGCGUAAGUGAUGAAGUUCUUGGGUUCGGAAAACUCUGUUUUGGGGGAAGAACAAAUGUGUAAGUAACUAUGCACGUCUUGACGGUACCGAAUCAGAAAGCCACGGCUAACUACGUG
rnacentral:rRNA from 1 species